GGGUUGUAGCUGGCCUUCGAGGCAUGUGCACGCCCUGCUCAUCCGCUCCUACACCUGUGCACUUACUGUGGGUUUACGAGUCGCGAAACAGGCCCGUUCAUUCGGGCUUGUGGAGCGCACUUGUUGCCUGCGUUUAUCACAAACUCUAUAAAGUAUUAGAAUGUGUAUUGCGAUGUAACGCAUCUAUAUACAACUUUCAGCAACGGAUCUCUUGGCUCUCGCAUCGAUGAAGAACGCAGCGAAAUGCGAUAAGUAAUGUGAAUUGCAGAAUUCAGUGAAUCAUCGAAUCUUUGAACGCACCUUGCGCUCCUUGGUAUUCCGAGGAGCAUGCCUGUUUGAGUGUCAUGAAAUCUUCAACUUACGAGCUUCUUGCGAGGUUUGUAGGGUUGGACUUGGAGGCUUGUCGGUCUUUAAAGGUCGGCUCCUCUUAAAUGCAUUAGCUUGGUUCCUUGCGGAUCGGGUUGUCGGUGUGAUAAUGUCUACGCCGCGACCGUGAAGCGUUUGGCAAGCUUCUAACCGUCUCGGUAUAGAGACAAGUUUUAUGACCUCUGACCUCAAAUCAGGUAGGACUACCCGCUGAACUUAAGCAUAUCAAUAAGCGGAGGAA
rnacentral:rRNA from 1 species